AGAGUUUGAUCCUGGCUCAGGAUUAACGCUGGCGGCAUGCCUAAUACAUGCAAGUCGAACGAGAGUAGCAAUACUCUAGUGGCGAACGGGUGAGUAACACGUAGGAAACCUGCCUCAAAGUCGAGGAUAACUACUGGAAACGGUAGCUAAAACUGGAUAGGAUAUAUUAAGGCAUCUUGAUAUAUUUAAAAGUCCUUCUGGGAAUGCUUUGAGAUGGUCCUGCGGCGCAUUAGCUAGUUGGUGAGGUAGUAGCUUACCAAGGCGACGAUGCGUAGCUGAGCUGAGAGGCCAAACAGCCACACUGGGACUGAGACACGGCCCAGACUCCUACGGGAGGCAGCAGUAGGGAAUUUUCGGCAAUGGGGGAAACCCUGACCGAGCAAUGCCGCGUGAAUGAUGAAAUUCUUCGGAAUGUAAAAUUCUGUUGUGAGGGAAGAAAGGUAGUAUCAGGAAAUGGGUAUUACUUGACGGUACCUUACUAGAAAGCCCCGGCUAACUAUGUGCCAGCAGCCGCGGUAAUACAUAGGGGGCGAGCGUUAUCCGGAAUUAUUGGGCGUAAAGCGUGCGUAGGCGGCCGUUUAAGUCUGUCGUGAAAGCCCACAGCUUAACUGUGGAGGGUCGAUGGAAACUGGAUGGCUUGAGUCUAGAAGAGGUAAGUGGAAUUCCAUGUGUAGCGGUAAAAUGCUUAGAUAUAUGGAGGAACACCAGUGGCGAAGGCGGCUUACUGGUCUAGCAUUGACGCUGAGGCACGAAAGCGUAGGUAGCAAACAGGAUUAGAUACCCUGGUAGUCUACGCUGUAAACGAUGAGCACUAAGUGUCGGACGUAAGUUCGGUGCUGUAGUUAACGCAUUAAGUGCUCCGCCUGGGGAGUACGUUCGCAAGAAUGAAACUCAAAGGAAUUGACGGGGACCCGCACAAGCGGUGGAGCAUGUGGUUUAAUUCGACGCAACGCGAAAAACCUUACCAGGCCUUGACAUCCCUAUGACCGCUCUAGAGAUAGAGUUUCCUCUUCGGAGGUAU
rnacentral:rRNA from 1 species